CCUACGGGAGGCAGCAGUGGGGAAUUUUGGACAAUGGGGGAAACCCUGAUCCAGCAAUGCCGCGUGUGUGAAGAAGGCCUUCGGGUUGUAAAGCACUUUUGUCCGGAAAGAAAACUUCUGCCCUAAUACGGUGGGAGGAUGACGGUACCGGAAGAAUAAGCACCGGCUAACUACGUGCCAGCAGCCGCGGUAAUACGUAGGGUGCGAGCGUUAAUCGGAAUUACUGGGCGUAAAGCGUGCGCAGGCGGUUCGUUAAGACAGAUGUGAAAUCCCCGGGCUUAACCUGGGAACUGCAUUUGUGACUGGCGAGCUAGAGUAUGGCAGAGGGGGGUAGAAUUCCACGUGUAGCAGUGAAAUGCGUAGAGAUGUGGAGGAAUACCGAUGGCGAAGGCAGCCCCCUGGGCCAAUACUGACGCUCAUGCACGAAAGCGUGGGGAGCAAAACAGGGUAUAGACUACCCGUAGGUACGUACCACCGUACCCUAAACGAUCGUACUAACGUUAGUUUGGUUCGGGUUCUUACUAUUCGUACGUUAAGUAACGUAGACCUAACGUCGUAGUAAGUUCGACCGUCCGGUGGGGACGUACGGUCGACGAAGUAAAUUUAAAACGUAAAGGUAAUUAGGACG
rnacentral:rRNA from 1 species